rnacentral:rRNA from 1 species
UCGGCGGCGUGGAUUAGGCAUGCAAGUCGAACGAAUGCUACUUGUGUAGUAAUACAUGGGUAGCGAAAGUGGCGAAAGGGGCAGUAAUGCGUGGGUAACCUACCUUGGGGAUGGGGAUAGCCGUUCUAACGAGCGGGUAAUACCCAGAGAUUCAGCGGGGCGGCAUCGUUCUGCUGGGAAAUGAGUUUCGCCUCGAGAGGGGCCCACGUGCUAUUAGCUAGUUGGUGAGGUAACGGCUCACCAAGGCUAAGAUGGCUAGCGGGUGUGAGAGCACGACCCGCGCCACUGGCACUGAGACACUGGCCAGACACCUACGGGUGGCUGCAGUCGAGGAUCUUCGUCAAUGGGCGCAAGCCUGAACGAGCGACGCCGCGUGCGCGAUGAAGGCCUUCGGGUUGUAAAGCGCGAAAGUGGGGAUAAAGCCGAAAGGUUGAUAGAUCCACAGUAAGGACGGGUUAAGUUCGUGCCAGCAGCCGCGGUAAGACGAACUGUCCUAACGUUGUUCGGAAUCACUGGGCUUAAAGGGCGCGUAGGCGGUCCGACAAGUCAGGGGUGAAAUCCUGCAGCUUAACUGCAGAAGUGCCUUUGAUACUGUCGGUCUUGAGGGAAAUAGGGGUGUGCGGAACUUCCAGUGGAGCGGUGAAAUGCGUUGAUAUUGGAAGGAACGCCGGAGGCGAAAGCGGCGCACUGGAUUUCUUCUGACGCUGAGGCGCGAAAGCUAGGGGAGCAAACGGGAUUAGAUACCCUGGUAGUCC